rnacentral:rRNA from 1 species
AACGUACGCUGGCGGCACGCCUAACACAUGCAAGUCGAACGAAGUAGCAAUACUUAGUGGCAGACGGGUGAGUAACAUGUGGGUAUCUGCCCUUUGGCCUGGAAUAACACGAGGAAACUUGUGCUAAUACCGGAUAAGUCUUUACGGAGAAAGCUUUAUGCACCAUUGGAUGAGCCCGCACUUGAUUAGUUUGUUGGUAGGGUAAUGGCCUACCAAGACUGUGAUCAAUAGCUGAUUUGAGAGGAUGAUCAGCCACAUUGGGACUGAGACACGGCCCAAACUCCUACGGGAGGCAGCAGUGGGGAAUCUUGCACAAUGGAGGAAACUCUGAUGCAGCGAUGCCGCGUGAGUGAAGAAGGCCCUUGGGUUGUAAAGCUCUUUCGUCGGGGAAGAAAAUGACUGUACCCGAAUAAGAAGGUCCGGCUAACUUCGUGCCAGCAGCCGCGGUAAUACGAAGGGACCUAGCGUAGUUCGGAAUUACUGGGCUUAAAGAGUUCGUAGGUGGUUGAAAAAGUUAGUGGUGAAAUCCCAGAGCUUAACUCUGGAACUGCCAUUAAAACUUUUCAGCUAGAGUAUGAUAGAGGAAAGCAGAAUUUCUAGUGUAGAGGUGAAAUUCGUAGAUAUUAGAAAGAAUACCAAUUGCGAAGGCAGCUUUCUGGAUCAUUACUGACACUGAGGAACGAAAGCAUGGGUAGCGAAGAGGAUUAGAUACCCUCGUAGUCCAUGCCGUAAACGAUGUGUGUUAGACGUUGGAAAUUUAUUUUCAGUGUCGCAGCGAAAGCGAUAAACACACCGCCUGGGGAGUACGACCGCAAGGUUAAAACUCAAAUGAAUUGACGGGGACCCGCACAAGUAGUGGAGCAUGUGGUUUAAUUCGAAGAUACGCGCAGAACCUUACCAACACUUGACAUGUUCGUCGCGACUCUAAGAGAUUAGAGUUUUCGGUUCGGCCGGACGAAACACAGGUGCUGCAUGGCUGUCGUCAGCUCGUGUCGUGAGAUGUUGGGUUAAGUCCCGCAACGAGCGCAACCCUCACUUUUAGUUGCCAUCAUUAAGUUGGGCACUCUGAAAGAACUGCCAGUGAUAAGCUGGAGGAAGGUGGGGAUGACGUCAAGUCCUCAUGGCCCUUACGUGUUGGGCUACACACGUGCUACAAUGGUAUCUACAACAGGAAGCAAGACUGCGAGGUCAAGCAAAUCCUUAAAAGAUACCUCAGUUCGGAUUGCACUCUGCAACUCGAGUGCAUGAAGCUGGAAUUACUAGUAAUCGUGGAUCAGCGUGCCACGGUGAAUGCGUUCCCGGGUCU